GGGCCCGUAGUCUAGCGGUAGGAUGUCGCCCUUGCGCAGCGAGUCGCGCGGCGAGCACAAGGAAUUCGUAUAUGGGGUUCGCCGGAGAUCGGCGGAGGUCCCGGGUUCAAAUCCCGGCGGGCCCA
rnacentral:tRNA from 1 species